GUAUAGAACCUACCUUAUAUUGGGGGAUAGCCCAGAGAAAUUUGGAUUAAUACCCCAUAGUAUGCUGAAGUGGCAUCCUUUAGUAUUAAAGAUUUAUCGAUAUAAGAUGGCUAUGCGUUCUAUUAGCUAGUUGGUAUGGUAACGGCAUACCAAGGCUACGAUAGAUAGGGGUCCUGAGAGGGAGAUCCCCCACACUGGUACUGAGACACGGACCAGACUCCUACGGGAGGCAGCAGUGAGGAAUAUUGGACAAUGGAGGCAACUCUGAUCCAGCCAUGCCGCGUGUAGGAAGACUGCCCUAUGGGUUGUAAACUACUUUUAUAGAGGAAGAAACCGCUCUACGUGUAGAGCUCUGACGGUACUCUACGAAUAAGGAUCGGCUAACUCCGUGCCAGCAGCCGCGGUAAUACGGAGGAUCCAAGCGUUAUCCGGAAUCAUUGGGUUUAAAGGGUCCGUAGCGGGCUUAUAAGUCAGUGGUGAAAGUUUGCGGCUCAACCGUAAAAUUGCCAUUGAUACUGUAGGUCUUGA
rnacentral:rRNA from 1 species